rnacentral:lncRNA from 1 species
GACACUAAGAUAAAAGCAACUAGACGGUGCAGGGCAUGGACAUACGACGACGGGCAGCCUUGGCGCUUAGUCGACCUCCUCCAUCUUGCUCUCACCGGCAUCAUCCUCCAGGGGCGGCAUGUCGGUGUCGUUCUCAGGCGCCUCAUCGUCCUCAUCAAUGCUCAGGCCAAGCUUGAGCAUGCGGUGGAUCCUGGUGCCGAAGGUGUUGGGGUCCUCAAGGCUGAAGCCCGAGGUGAGCAGAGAGGUCUCGAAGAGAAGCAUCACCAGGUCCUUCACCGACUUGUCGUUCUUGUCGGCGUCGGCACGCUUGCGGAGCUCGUCCAUGAUGGCGUUCUCAGGGUUGAUCUCCAUGGUCUUCUUGCUAGACAUGUAGCCAGCCAUGCUCGAGUCCCUCAAGGCCUGGGCCUUCAUGAUCCUCUCCAUGUUGGCGGUCCACCCAUACUCACCAGUCACCAGACAGCACGGUGAGUCCACAACACGGUCAGAGACGAUGACCUUCUCCACCUUGUCGCCCAGCACCUCCUUGAUGACCUUGCACAGCCCCUCGAACUUCUCCUUGAGUUCCUCCUGCUUCUUCUUCUCGUCCUCGCUCUCAUCAAGCUUCAGACCCUCCUUGGUGGCAGAGACAAGCUUCUUGCCCUCAAACUCCUUGAGCUGACCAAUGGCAUACUCAUCAAUGGCGUCAACCAUGUAGAUGACCUCAUAGCCCUUCUUCUUCAGCUUCUCAAGGAAGGGAGAGUUCUCCACAGCCUUCUUGCUCUCACCAGUGAUGUA